rnacentral:sRNA from 1 species
AAGUGCGAGGAAUGAUGUAUUACCGAAAAGCUUUGGAACUUCAAGCAUUCCUUGAUAUGGCAAAUGAUGAAGGUACUU